rnacentral:misc_RNA from 1 species
AAACUGCGAUAAGUGGUGUGAAUUGCAUUUAGUGAAUCAUCGAAUCUUUGAACGCACCUUGCACUCACUGGUAUUCCGGUGAGUACGCCUGUUUCAGUGACCACGAAAACGCACAAUCAAAAUCUUUUUGGUUAUGAUUGGCCUUGGGCUUUUAACAGUUUGGUUCAUUUAUUUGGAUCAAGCGGCCUGGAAUACAUUGUCUGGCUAAUUGCAUCGUUGAUGAUCGCUAUUAGACUUUGGCUUUUUUAAAUGAACUGGAGGUUGAUUAACCAGUUUUAGCUUUAGUCGAAUUGUCAUUGUAAAUCGAUCUUGGUCCAGCGGCUGGAAAUAGCCGAAAACAAUGAUCAAUUUUAUUCAGUCCUGAAAUCAGGUGGGACUACCCGCUGAACUUAA